rnacentral:misc_RNA from 1 species
UUUCUAGUUCAGUCAUUGAAGCGAUUAGGGCAAACACUUUGUAUGGGAUCGCACUCAUUCUCAUCUGCUUGGGCUCAGGCUAGGGUUUUUGCCUGCUCAGCUUCCUUCGCGACUUCAAGCUCGGCGAAUUUCCGCUAUCGCUAGCCAUGGCCGAGCAGACAGAGAAGGCAUUUCUGAAGCAGCCUAAGGUAUUCUUGAGCUCGAAGAAGUCGGGGAAAGGAAAGAGCCUGGAAAGGGAGGCAAUCGGUUUUGGAAGAGCAUUGGAUUGGGCUUUAAGACACCCAGAGAGGCAAUUGAAGGUUUGAUGAAUUUUUGUUCAGUUAGUCAUUGGAAUGCUUAAGUUGGCAAUCUACAUUUUAUUUUUUGAAUAAUAAGAUCGCUAGAUGCUGUUCAAUUUGUAUUGAUUUGGAUAGAUAGUUGACGUUAAUGUGCAUAUACCACCACAAAUGCUUGUAUGUUUGAAAAUUUUUUAAUUGAUUCUUUGUUGUGAAUUUAUUAUUACACUUUGAACUGGAUUAUUGUUUAUAAUUGAAGUGCCAUCCUAAAGUUGUGAAUUUUGGCCCUAUCUGCAGAUGUACAUUUUACUUAAAUUUGCUAUCCAUGUGCAACUCUCAGAAAUUAGAUUAAACACCAUUGUUUUUAGAUUGUAAAUUAUCAUACUUUCUAUAUUAUCGUCUUUUUUCUGUCAUUUUUUUUCUUGUUAUUAUAUUUAGAGAUUCACAAAAUAAGCUUCUAGAGUGUUAUUAUUGUGUACAAUUUUGUAAGAAAUAGGUCUUACAGUGGAAAGAACUUCAAAACAACCAUGUAUCUUUUUAACAAAUUUGAUAAGCACAUUUAAGUUGAUUAUUUGUUAUGCAUAUCAGUUGUAUGCCAUUGUAUCUUAACAUAGUCUUUAAAGUAAAUUGGAGCUGAAAUUUUGAAAAAUAUUAUAGGCUUUAGGAUUUAGUUGCUUGAUUCAAAUCAUUGAUGUGCUGGAUGUAGUUGUAAGAUCCUCCUCCUGCUUGUGAAUCAGUUCAGGCUUGUUGACAAAGAGCACCUUUUUUUUUAAUUGUUGUUGCAGGGA